rnacentral:rRNA from 1 species
GAUGAACGCUGGCGGCGUGCCUAAUACAUGCAAGUCGAGCGAACAGACGAGGAGCUUGCUCCUCUGACGUUAGCGGCGGACGGGUGAGUAACACGUGGAUAACCUACCUAUAAGACUGGGAUAACUUCGGGAAACCGGAGCUAAUACCGGAUAAUAUAUUGAACCGCAUGGUUCAAUAGUGAAAGACGGUUUUGCUGUCACUUAUAGAUGGAUCCGCGCCGCAUUAGCUAGUUGGUAAGGUAACAGCUUACCAAGGCAACGAUGCGUAGCCGACCUGAGAGGGUGAUCGGCCACACUGGAACUGAGACACGGUCCAGACUCCUACGGGAGGCAGCAGUAGGGAAUCUUCCGCAAUGGGCGAAAGCCUGACGGAGCAACGCCGCGUGAGUGAUGAAGGUCUUCGGAUCGUAAAACUCUGUUAUUAGGGAAGAACAAAUGUGUAAGUAACUAUGCACGUCUUGACGGUACCUAAUCAGAAAGCCACGGCGAACUACGU